AUUGGGGCUGUACCAAUUUAGUACACUUCCUUUUCCAGAACAGAAUCCUGUUCUUUAAAUGGUUUAUUUCAGGAGAAGUAUCAUGUUAGAGCUUAUACUGUUCUUUUUUUCCAUGGUCAGAUAACUGAUGUCGAGAGCUUUGCAUCUGAUUGCUAAUAUGUAACACCUAGUGUGUGCUGAGUGUUCGUAGCUCUGAACACUGAAGACUGAACAUUGUCAAGAAGAGACCACGAUCCUGCUUUAGCAAAAAGCUUUUGGUGUAAGUGAUUCGAUCUUGGUUGAUUCAUGGUCAACGUUUCCCUUAGUCCAAACUCCAAACUGUUGUGGGCAGUGGGCACAACCCCUUCUUUUCCUCCCUCGAACCGAUGCCUCUUCAAGUUCAGGGUGAUCAUCAUGUUCCAAUUCCUGAAGGCCAUCUCAUCAUUCUACAACCAAAACGAUGACUGCUGUCGGACGUCAUAUAGAGGAUCAUUCCAAGAACUGUCCGAAGCCAUGCGGAGGUGAGUACUGUGCCUUGUUCCUUACCCAGUUCAUCUUCUGCAUUUGGAGUAAAAUAAUCAACCUUUACGCUGCCAGUUGCGACGGCAACUAGUGGAGUGAUCAAUGAUAAGGAAGGUGAUUAGCCUACCACCAAAGAACAAAAAGAAGUUGCAAAAGAUGGCAAGCAGAAGAGCUCAUUUUAACACCCCCUAUCACUCUCUUUUUGUCUCUGUCCAACGAGAUGGCCACAUCUCCACAACACUUUUCCAGUUAGAGAAAAGGGCAAAGAGUUGUUUUCCUUUUCCGAUGCAGAUUCUUCCUUUCACCAUCAACUACUAUAUCAUCAACCCAUCCAUAAAACUCCGCCUAAAAUGGACGUGUUAAACAUUACUGGACAAAUGUUCUGAUUCUGAUUCUGGCAAUAGAUAGGCCUAAAGCACGAACUGCCUGCCACUAACAUUGUUGGUCUGCUUAGGA